GACGAACGCUGGCGGCGUGCUUAACACAUGCAAGUCGAACGGAAAGGCUCCAGCUUGCUGGAGUACUCGAGUGGCGAACGGGUGAGUAACACGUGGGUAAUCUGCCCUGCACUCUGGGAUAAGCCUAGGAAACUGGGUCUAAUACUGGAUAUGACCUUUCUCCUUAUGGGGUUUGGUGGAAAGUUUUUCGGUGUAGGAUGAGCCCGCGGCCUAUCAGCUUGUUGGUGGGGUGAUGGCCUACCAAGGCGACGACGGGUAGCCGGCCUGAGAGGGUGAUCGGCCACAUUGGGACUGAGAUACGGCCCAGACUCCUACGGGAGGCAGCAGUGGGGAAUAUUGCACAAUGGGCGGAAGCCUGAUGCAGCGACGCCGCGUGAGGGAUGACGGCCUUCGGGUUGUAAACCUCUUUCAGCAGGGACGAAGCGUAAGUGACGGUACCUGCAGAAGAAGCACCGGCUAACUAUGUG
rnacentral:rRNA from 1 species